CUCCACCUGCAAUCCUGCCAGGAAAGCCUGACCGCUCCCACUGCAGAUCUCCAUCCCCUCUUUGACCUUCCUUAUCAUUCCUUUCCUCUCCCAGCUCACUCCCUAGAAUGCCACGUGUGCUGCGGGCCUGAAAGCUGCCGGGCUCCCGUCGAAUGCUCCCCAACAGACAAGUACUGUCUUAUUACCCGGGCAAUCAACUCAAUCAACCCCAACCAUAUCCUGGUGAUGAAGUCCUGCGCCCCAACUUGCCCGAACAGCACCAUUUCAACCGAUGGACACGCCAUCUCUGUUGCCUGCUGCCAGGCAAAUAGAUGCAAUGGGAAGGUGGAGACAAAUGCUUCCACUAGCCUAGCCAUCAGCCAAGGGGUUCUGUGGGUGGGUCUCUCGGCCAGCCUCCUGUGGGUGCUCCUCCACGCUGGCUGGUGAGGAGAUUUUUCUUGUCCCUACCCUUCCACUGUCCCUAAAGUUUUCUGUUCCCAAGAUCUCUUCAAUCAGGACAGGAUUUCCAAUACCAAGGGGCAGAUUUCCUCCCAAGAAAAAAGAUCCACAGGAUAGGCUUUUGUUCCUUCUUCUAGUUCCUUCAGGGUAUCCAGAAGGAGGAACUCUGUCCUGUAGUCUCAUUCCUUGGGUAUGAAUCUGGCCAAUUCCCAGUAUUACUAUUUCUCUUUCUCCUUUUCUCUUCCCUUUCUUAUCUGGGAUGCUAAUCUUUUCCCUGCUGUUUUUCUGUCCCCUGAGGAUAGGGAAAAUUAUUUUUUUUCUGUUAGGGGUGGUACAGCCAUAAUUGGGAGGGGAAGGGAAGAGGUCAUGGGGGAACUGUGAAAUUUUAAUGUUUUAAUUAAACAAUCACUUCCUUCUUCUUUUCUACUCUGUCCUACUUAACAUUGAGUCCCUUUCCCCCCUUUAAUCCUUGGGAAGCUCAAUAUAACCCCCUCAGUGCCAGUCAGGGUGAAUGACCCAAUUAAAGAAGGCUUCACUAAAAGAAGCAGCUUUUAAACCCUCUUUAAAUGGAUCAUCCAUCAUAUAAUCAUGUGGUUUAGAGAUGGGGUAGAGAACUGAGAUGAAGAGUAUAUGAUUUCCUCAAACCUAUCCUAUAAGCAACAAUGGGUGGGGGGAGGGUAGAAUUAUCUCAGGCAUUAAUUUUCCCUAAAUGGAAAUAGGAGGGAAAGAAGCUGAGGAGCUGUGAUUAGGGUGAAGAGUACUCCAUUGCCUCAAUCAGAGAGCCCACCCUGAUGUAUCUACUUCCCUCACAGGGAUGUUGUGAGAGGAAAAAUAAUAAAUGAUUAAAAUGCCCUUUGUGUGCCUUUUGAAUCAAAGAAUAUAGGGCAGAGAGUCCUGGAUUUAGCCUUAGCCUGUAAUGAGGAUUAAAAUGGUCUAUGGUCUCAAUGUAGGGCUACAGUUAGGAAGGAUUGAGUUUAUGACCAAAUAUUGAAUUCAGAGUAAGAAUACAUAUGUGUAAUCUCUUAAGGCCUCCCCCAUUACCUUGUUCUUGCAUCCUACCCCUAAUAUCAGCAUCUGUGGUCCACAGUUUAGAUCUGGACUCCUGAAUUCGAAUCAUCGAAUAUUCAAUCUUAAAGAGAACCUAAAAGUCAUCUAAUAUCCUCUACCCUCAAUUUAUUGCCAUUUUUAGAUUAACAAUCUGGGGCCCAAAAUGAGAAGAAAUGUGUCCAAGUCCAAGUCACAGAAUGAGUCAGACUGAAAAAAAGACCUGAACCUUAAAUUCCUACUUCCUACUUCCAACCCAUGAGCACAAAAUUGAGCUAUUAAUAAGGGCAUCAAGCUUGAUUGGCUACCAACCUAGUGUCUGGAAAUCUGGGAUGCUGAUGAUGGUACUACUCCCUCUCUAACUUGGAGGCGUUGAUACAAUGCUAGCUGAAAAAUCUGAAUUUUGGAAUGAUGGAAUUCUAAGACCUUAUUCUGGAAUGGAAUGCUCUGAACCUUUUGCACUUACCAGGUUACAGGUUCCAUCCACUCUUCAUUGCUCACUGAGUUCCCCUAAUAGCACCAAGAUAAAGAAAGACUAGUUAAAGCUAAUAAAUCUCUUUGAAUGUCACACAGCUAAUUAAAAGGCCUCCUUUCCCAUACAUAAUUAGUAACCUGAACCAGUUACAGAAUAUCUACUCAGGCUCCAAAGUCUGCCUCUCUAAGACACAUGCCUUACACAUCUUCAUGGUUCUGUCUCUUCUUGGUCUCCCAACUGUCUUCCAUGUAGACAUGCCAUCUGAGACAUUCUAAGCAUGCAUCAGAUCCUCAUUAUGAAAAUAUGCCUUUUUCAAAAGGAACAAGUUAGGAAAAGAGGUAUUGUGUAUUAAGAUCAAUAACUGAAAUGUGGAAGUAUGAUGAAAAAUGUUAAGGUGAGGAUCAAUGGAGCCAAGUACCAGAGUGAUAUUGUCAUCAGAACACUGGGACUAAUGUGAUAUUGUCAUCAGAUCAUCUGACAUCUCGCCUGUACAAAAAAAAGGAAAUUGAUAAAGAAUUGGGGAAACAUUUCAAAAAUAUGACAGAGGAGCAUGAUUCGCUAUUGAUAUGGAAUUUAAAUUAUUCAAAUAUCUACUAGAGCCUCUCUCUUUCACUCUCUCCCUCACUCUCUCCUUUCCAAUCUCUUUCCCUUCCUCCCCCUUUCCUUCUCCUUCUCCCUCUCUCUCUCUCAAAAAAGUCUUAUA
ensembl:lncRNA